GUUCCUGUAGUUGAAGCACAACGGUGGGUUUUCAAGUCACCGGUCCUGGUUAGAAUCCAGGCGGGAAUU
rnacentral:tRNA from 1 species